rnacentral:rRNA from 1 species
CCUACGUGGGGCAGCAGUGAGGAAUAUUGGUCAAUGGGCGCGAGCCUGAACCAGCCAAGUAGCGUGAAGGAUGACUGCCCUACGGGUUGUAAACUUCUUUUAUAAAGGAAUAAAGUGAGGCACGUGUGCCUUUUUGUAUGUACUUUAUGAAUAAGGAUCGGCUAACUCCGUGCCAGCAGCCGCGGUAAUACGGAGGAUCCGAGCGUUAUCCGGAUUUAUUGGGUUUAAAGGGAGCGUAGAUGGGUUGUUAAGUCAGUUGUGAAAGUUUGCGGCUCAACCGUCAAAUUGCAAUUGAUACUGGCAGUCUUGAGUACAGUUGAGGUAGGCGGAAUUCGUGGUGUAGCGGUGAAAUGCUUAGAUAUCACGAAGAACUCCGAUUGCGAAGGCAGCUUACUAACCUGCCACUGACAUUGAUGCUCGAAAGUGUGGGUAUCAAACAGGAUUAGAUACCCUUGUAGUC